rnacentral:rRNA from 1 species
AGCCUAACACAUGCAAGUCGAACGGCAGCACAGGAGAGCUUGCUCUCUGGGUGGCGAGUGGCGGACGGGUGAGGAAUACAUCGGAAUCUACUUUUUCGUGGGGGAUAGCGUAGGGAAACUUACGCUAAUACCGCAUACGACCUACGGGUGAAAGCAGGGGAUCUUCGGACCUUGCGCGAUUGAAUGAGCCGAUGUCGGAUUAGCUAGUUGGCUGGGGUAAAGGCCCACCAAGGCGACGAUCCGUAGCUGGUCUGAGAGGAUGAUCAGCCACACUGGAACUGAGACACGAUCCAGACUCCUACGGGAGGCAGCAGUGGGGAAUAUUGGACAAUGGGCGCAAGCCUGAUCCAGCCAUACCGCGUGGGUGAAGGAAGGCCUUCGGGUUGUAAAAGCCCUUUNUGUCUAGGGAAAGAAAUCCAGCUGGCUAAUACCCGGUUGGGAUGACGGUACCCAAAGAAUAAGCACCGGCAUAACUUCGUGCCAGCAGCCGAGGUAAAUACGAAGGGUGCAAGCGUUACUCGGAAUUACUUGGGCGUAAAGCGUGCGUAGNGUGGUCGUUUAAGUCC